UUGGAGGGCAAGUCUGGUGCCAGCAGCCGCGGUAAUUCCAGCUCCAAUAGCGUAUAUUAAAGUUGUUGCAGUUAAGAAGCUCGUAGUUGAAUUUCGAGAUCAAUAUGUUGGUCGUGCCAUUGGUACGUACUGGCGUUAUUGGUUUCUACCUUCUGAAGAACCUCGAUGUCAUUAAUUUGGUGUCUUGGGGAAUCAGGACUGUUACUUUGAAAAAAUUAGAGUGUUUAAAGCAGGCUCGCGCUUGAAUACAUUAGCAUGGAAUAAUGAAAUAGGACGUUUGAUUCUAUUUUGUUGGUUUCUAGGAUCGACGUAAUGAUUAAUAGGGAUAGUUGGGGGCAUUAGUAUUCAAUUGUCAGAGGUGAAAUUCUUGGAUUUAUUGAAGACUAACUACUGCGAAAGCAUUUGCCAAGGAUGUUUUCAUUAAUCAAGAACGAAAGUUAGGGGAUCGAAGACGAUCAGAUACCGUCGUAGUCUUAACCAUAAACUAUGCCGACUAGGGAUCGGAUGAUGUUAAUUUUUUAAUGACUCAUUCGGCACCUUACGGGAAAC
rnacentral:rRNA from 1 species